GUGCCCUCUUAAGGCUGACUCAGUGCUUUAAGAAGCUAGUGUAGAGGGUAAAGAAAGGUUCUGUUAAACCCAGAGAGGAGAUCUUACAAACUCUUCCUUAGACCUGUCUGAGCUUUAAUA